GAUGAACGCUGGCGGCGUGCCUAAUACAUGCAAGUCGAGCGAACAGACGAGGAGCUUGCUCCUCUGACGUUAGCGGCGGACGGGUGAGUAACACGUGGAUAACCUACCUAUAAGACUGGGAUAACUUCGGGAAACCGGAGCUAAUACCGGAUAAUAUAUUGAACCGCAUGGUUCAAUAGUGAAAGACGGUUUUGCUGUCACUUAUAGAUGGAUCCGCGCCGCAUUAGCUAGUUGGUAAGGUAACGGCUUACCAAGGCAACGAUGCGUAGCCGACCUGAGAGGGUGAUCGGCCACACUGGAACUGAGACACGGUCCAGACUCCUACGGGAGGCAGCAGUAGGGAAUCUUCCGCAAUGGGCGAAAGCCUGACGGAGCGACGCCGCGUGAAUGAUGAAGGUCUUCGGAUCGUAAAACUCUGUUAUUAGGGAAGAACAAAUGUGUAAGUAACUAUGCACGUCUUGACGGUACCUAAUCAGAAAGCCACGGCUAACUACGUG
rnacentral:rRNA from 1 species